rnacentral:lncRNA from 1 species
UUUUCUUGUAAAGCAACAAGUGCAUUAGCACAUAAGAUGCCAACCUGUCUCAUACCGCCCCUAAUGUUUUCCUCAAAAUCCUUGCCUACAUAAAUAAAACUCGAAAUUCAGAACUUAUAAAACCAUAAUCAACCAAAGGUCCAAAACACAAUGUUUUUUCGCAAGCUCCCCAACAUGGUUGUAUACUCUACAUAAAGACAUCUACCACCAGAGCUGCAUCAAUAACUCAUCUCUGUUAGGCAUUUAAUCAUUGAUCGCCUAGAUAACAAUAACAAAAGAAAUCAUCCAAAUUCAUACUUAGCAUGUGAAUUGUGAAUUCUCGAGGCAAAUAAGCCUAGUUUUCGAGUAACAUACCUCAAAGUAAGGGUUCCGAAUCGCAGACUUGAUCACAUCAACAUCAAUACUCCCACCAUCAUUAUUAUUAACAGGUCUAGGGUAGGGGUGGCAAAAUGGGUGGGUUGGGCAGGUUUGGGUAAUGAGUUAGGAUGGGUAUGGGUUAGGAUGGGUUUGGGUUAGGAUGAGUUUAUUAAGAAAUGGGUUUAGGUCAAGAUAGGUUUUUGUCAAGAUAGAUUUGGGCAUGAUAGGCUAAAAUUAUAAAAAAAAAUAAAAAAAUUAAAAAAAAAAAAAACAAAAAAACAAAAAAAAUCAAAAUAUUUAAAAAAAGCAAAAAAAUAAAAAAAUUCAAAAAGAUUUGAACAGUUAAAAAAAUUAAAAAUAAAAGAAAAUUUUUAAAAAAAUAAAAAAAAAGGUUCAGUGCUUGUAAUAGAAAUGUAGGGAUUGUUUCAUAAUAUAAUAUACUUGUAUCAUAAUAUAUUUGUAAUGUAGGGAUUGUUUCAUGAAACAAAAAAUGGAGAUGAUUAACAAGCUUCAUGAGGUCAUUCAUGGGUUUGCUCUGCUGCCUGCAUAUCUAUAUAAACAACAUUAAAAAUAGCUAUGAUAAAGAGUUAACACCAAAGAGAAAAAAAGAACACAUCUAAUCAGCAUAAUAAAUGUUCGAAGGAGUCUGUCUGUCAACUCAGUUUAUAAAUACUUGAUUAAAAAAGUCACCAAAGUUUAUUUAUCAGAUGUGGAAAUUGAACUUGUUAAAAGGAAUUUGGUUCAUGUUGAACAACAUACCUUGUCCAUCAUUUGGGCCGCAAAGUGAAUUCCUAUAUCGUGUUUGCUGCUGAGUUGGCUGGAAAUAAAACGUGACCGUCAACACUCUUAAUGAUGAUAUACACAAUGUAUACAGGUAAUUGAUCCACAAGCAGGGGAUCCAUCAAUAGAAGAGCAUAAUGUAACCCGUUUCCUAAUGAAUGGGUCUAUUCGGGAUCUCAAAUGUGUUAAAUAAAAGAUCAGUUUAUAUUUUAACAUAAUAAAUCAAUGAGCAUCAAACAUUUUCAAUACCUGCAGUUUAGGUCGAAGUGCCUCAAGAGGUCCUCUGGGCUUGUCUACACCUUGCUACUAACAGUCUAACAGUAAUAUUAUGUUUUACAUCAACUAAUACAUUAUGGUAAAAGUUUAACCAAAAAAAAAAAAAACAAUAGCAGUCACCAAAUUCUAAUUGUACCUUUCCUAGAGCCCAAUCAAGUGAAUCAAAAUAAGCCCGUUCAUGAUCCUAAGUCUUAGCACCAAUUCCCCUGCACUGCUCCUUACCCUAUUUCCUAAAUUACACCCAGCUUUUAAUAAAUAACCCCAAUCUAUGAAAAAAGAACCAACUGCAAACAAAUUUUGCAUAAAAAUAAAUCAAUUAAAGAAUAACUUGCUUCAAAAGUAUAUUUGCAGACACACAUACAUAUAACCAAAUUGAAUCUAGCCAGAUUUGAAAUUAGCCAGAAAAAGGAAUUCAAAUUCAAACUAAAAGAGUAGAAGUUAAGAACCCUAACCCUAAUUGUAAAACAGUUUCAGAUCAAUUAUAAGCAGUAUUAAUUUGGAAACAACGAUCAACAACAACAACCUUUAUUGAAACCAAAUGGUGGAACCCUACUAACCUGAGAUCGGAGCACCCACAAUCCCUUCUCAGUUCAAGAAUACCCGCAGAACAACAUCACGGAUUGAAGGUGUUUCUCUUCUGAAUUCAUAACAUGUUACAGGGGUAUGGAGAUUGGUGUGUGAUGGUUGAAGAACAAUGAUCCUGGAAUCCGACGUUUCGGGUCGUGGUUUGAAUCCUGGCCAAAGCAACCGCAUCAUUUCAGUUUGGAUUAGAAAAGAUAGAGAGAGUAGGAAGAUGAGAAAUGAACUGUACCCUCUAUUGUAACCGCCACCAUCGCACUUAUUGCCAUAAAGAAAGAAAGUGAAGAGGUGGCUAUAACGAUAAAGCCAAAUCUGUAUUGGCUUCUUCUACUGUCUUGUAAAUGAUGCUUCAAAACUUGUAUUUGUGGUAAAAUGAGGGUAGAAAAGGAAGAAAAAUGUAAAAAUAUAGGAAUUUGUUCUAGCUUUUGGUAUGCCAUCUUAAAAAUAUGAUAGUAAAUUACAUUUGUAGACAUAGGAGAUGCUUAUAUAUAGUAUAUAGAUUUGCAUAAGGUUAUUGAAUUGUUCAAUUUACUAUUUAAUCAGAACUAGUGAGAUUCCCCCGUGCUUCGCGACGGGAAUCAGUCGGUAUUAGUUCGGUUCGUUACGGUAUCGGAAUUUGCUAUAGUAUUAUUCUAAAGAGAACAUUUACAUCAGUCGAAAACAAUAAAAACGAAUAUCAAUACCGGUACUGAUCUUGUUCAGUUGAUAUCGGUUAUGUUCGUUUGCAUUCUUUGCUUAUUUUAUUUCAACAUUGCAGUAUUUUUUAUUUGAAAACGGACGUUGUAUCGUUGUCGUACCAAACCGAAUUAAAAUCGAUUAAACAACAUCUAUAUCAAUCGGUACCAAUAUUUAAUUUUAUUGUUAACGUUUUCAAUAAACUAACACCCUAUCGUUACGUUAUCAUACUGAACCGAACCGAACAACAUACCAGUAUGCAUUCAUUUUUAUAGUGUUUUGUUUGAUGAUGAAUACUUUUAUCGUAUCUUAAUUUUAAAAGUAAUAUGAGAAAAAUAAUGAUUAAAAUGAAUUAAAGUAAUAAAACAAUAAAAUAACUAAAACUUAAAAAAAAGACCAUAUUGAACAAAAAUACUAAAGUACUAUUCAUGGCCAGUUUCUUUUCAUAUAGAUAAUAGUUUACCAUAAAAAUUUUCCCUCUAGCGUGAUAGAAAUUAUACGUUUGGUGACAUAUGGCUUUUUUUCUUUUUUCCAGUUGGAAGCCUGUAUUCGUUUUACUUCUGAAACUAAUCAUAAUUGUUUGAUAUGCACGAAUGCCGAUUGCUUUGGGAGGAUGUAGCAAAUAAAUAUUAAAAUCCAUUUUGUUUAUAGUGUAUUUCCUACAUCUACGUUUAGCAUGAUAGGGAAUAAUGUUUCUCUCUCAUUGGUUAAAAUGGACGGCCAGCAAUACAUUAUUAAAUCAAACAGUUUAUUAUUUUUUAUUUGAUUUAAAUUUACGUUUUUGCCCCUAGUUUAAAAUUACGUUAUCGCC